CCACCGGCUGGCUGGUUCGCUCUGUCGAUGUCCUACAGGUUGGGACAACUGGUGCCCAGCAUGCGGCUGGAUAGAGUUGGGGAUCUGGGAACUUCAGUGCUCAUUAGAGGGACGGGCCCGUCCAUGGCGUCCAUGACAAGGUCAAUUGUGAGCCUCGGUUGGAGGAAGACCCAGCAGCCUACCCAGUGCUUAGGACUUUUGGUUCAUGAGCACUACCUACGUGGAAAAGCCUCUAUGUAUGCCAGCAUGACAGAAGAGGGCACCAGAUCUCAUUACAGAUGUUUGUGAGCCACCAAAUGGUUGCUAGGAAUUGAACUCAGGACCUCUGGAAGAGCAGCCGGUGCUUUUAACCUCUGAGCCGUCUCUCCAGCCAAACUAUUCCUGUCCCUUAAUAAUAAAUGUGUCUGUUCUUAUUAAGUCUCUUAAGAUGCUUCCCAGC
rnacentral:lncRNA from 1 species